AUGGAGUGGUGGUUCGCGUCUUCCGCUAUGGAGUGGUGGUUCGCGUUUCAGUUUGAGAUAGCGGUUGCUAUUUGGUGUUUAGCAUACGCUAUUUGUUACUAUUUUCUGAAGUUCCUUUUUAAUGUUAUUAUGAUGAUGAUUAUACUUCUAAAAAUUAUCCUCUUCCUUGCAGAGGUUAAAAGUAGUUUUCUGAAUUAG